AUAACAACAUAAUAUUAUUUUAUUAUUGUGUAUUUGUGUGGCUUUGCUUACUUGCUGUUUGUAUCAUAGUGUUCCACAUUUGGACAAUUAGAAAUUUGAACAUAAAUACAGAUUACAGACUGCAGUCGUACACUCGUACAGAAUUCCUGCCGUACAUUUUACUAUUUUGGCACAGAAUUACGAUGCGAAAGUGUAUUUUUUGUUGUUAAACAUCCAAUGUAUCGCCACACCUCAACUUUCAUCUGUAAUACAAUUUUACUGAACAAGUAUUCAAUUUUAAUAGCACAGAAAUGUUUAGCUAUUUUGGACUUCCAGUGUAAUGACAAUUGGAUCUGAAUUUUGGGACAUUGCAGAAUUUGAUACAAAAUACAAAAUUCAAUUCAAUUGAAGUGUGCAUAUAUGUGAACAUUAUCCAUAUGUUGUUGUUGAGUAGAUGUGAUUUACACUUUAUGGAAUAUAUUCAUCUUCAAAAGACACCUAAAAUCCAUUAUUAUAAGUUUAAACCAAUACAUUUUCAGAUCAUGGAAGUUUUACUAAUAUUUUUCAGAUGGCUAAAACCUAAUUGAAUGAUUUCAAUUAAUCGAUAAUUUUUGAAAGUGAUGACGAUUAAGAGGAUUAACAUCAAAUUAUUGCUUGUAAUAACAUGUAACCCAUAUGCAUGGUGAUAUUAUUCGAAAAGGUCGGUCUAGUAUAUUUUACAUAAUCUUUCAACUCUAUAAAUAGUUGGCCAUCAAAUAGCAUUUGGAAUGUAUGCAUUAUUCAAAAUGUGUUAUGUAAAAUAUAUUCACACUAGGGAUGAUUGGACAUUAAUCUUUUCAAUUUUAGAGUGUGUCGGUGCUUGAAUUGUAUCUAAAAAAAAUUUAUCUAUUUAAAAAAAAAAUCAUUACUUUGCAUAGUCUUAAAAAUUUAAACCAAUUCUUGACAAAGUUUUAAUGUUUAAUAAGUAAUAGGUCUGAUAAUAGAGUUACAAGUGUAAGUGAUAGUAAUGAAGACAGUGGCUUAGACGUAAAAUCAGUUAAUAAUCUCAACCCAUUUGUCGUCAACUCCAGAUAAUAAACCAGAUUGGUUAAAGGUAAAUACAUUUCAUGCUAUGUUUAACAAUAAAUUCAUAUAAGAAGCUAAUGUUUAUGUAGAUUUAGACAAACUCAGUGGAAUAAGAAAUCUAGCCAGAUUGUUAAAUAUUUAAACGUUAUGAUGCAUUAUCUUUUGUUAAAUUCUAUGAGUGUAUGGUGUGUUUAGUGCGUAAUAUUGCACAUAUUACACCAUUCAACACAAUCAAAUGUGUAUCUGUCAUAAAAAUGUUCACAUGGGCCAGUUUACAAUCAAGCAUGAUCAAUUUUUAACUCAUUUUUUUAAAAAAAGUCCAUGCUCAAGUUAAAUUAUUUUAGAAUAUAGAAAUGUACUCUAAAAAUUAGGCAAUAAACCAAAAACCAAUUUGAAAUUAAACAAAGGUAAAAUGUCUAAUCCAUAUGAAGCAGACGAUAGUGACCCUGAAGACAUUCCAAGUAGGUACACUAAAGUUUCUAUUCAGGUAUUUUCUUCAUUCUCUUUUUAAUGUAUAUUAUAAUUAUUCAUAAAUUAUUUAAAUGUAUUCAGCUUCUUGACAUUAUUAUUUACACAAUGUAUACGAGUACUGCAGAUAUAUAUCAUUGGUGGACAGAAGAAAAUCCAGACACAGAACUUAUAUCUUUGUGGAGCUAUUGGUGGUGUCCUCUACUCCGAGGUAGUCUGUGUCGCGGAUGACGACUUGAUAUGAUGUGUGCUAUGACAUAUUUGCUAUGUGACAUACUUCUAAUGCAUGACUUAGCAAUGCUCAACAGUGAUGAAUGAGAAACAUGUUUCUGCAAAGUCUUGUUCCAUUGAAAACAAACUGUUAAGAGUCUGGAACCGACAUUGAUCCAAGUCUGCUGUCUGCCACUUUGUUAUCAAAGUUAUCAACAGACUACUUAUAGGUCACUCAAAGAUGUGCACAGAGAAGAACUUGUAAUGUGCCUAACCUGCGAAGAACCUCUCACAGUGAAGCACCUCCUUGUCUACAGUCGAAACCAUCUAAAUACCAGAAAAAGCCUAGAAAAGCCUGACAACCUCUUUGAAGCUCUUAGCCCAAUCCAAGACAACACAAUAUCAAUAUAACAAUAUCAUCACAUAUCAUCACAUUUCUAAAACUUAUUGAUAUGUACAACUUAAUCUAAGGAAUGCAACUAUUAAUACUUUUCUUUAAAAUAUCUAUGUUUUGUUUUCUUACACCAUUUAACUCAGCUUCAAUCACCAUCAAAAUUUGUUGACUUAUGGAUCACUAUUCUAGAACUGAUGCACAAGUUUAUGAUAUACAAUAGGAACACUGACUGAAGCGAUUCCAGAAAUCUUGAAAAAUAUGUUAUAGCAGCGUGUUUUGGAUGCUACUCGGACUAAAAUCAAUACCUUUUUAUCCCAAAUGUCUUAUGAUUUUCUUCAACAUCACAGUAGCAGACAAAUUAAAAUGUCAAUUCACUAUUUAAGCUAACAACAAGAAAUUGGAACUGGAGAAUGUACACUUUGAUAUAUUAUACAUUAGUAAGAAUGUAAGACGGAGACAUUACAAGCGGAUAAUAACAAACCAGAUUGUGAAGUAAACUAAGAACUGUAUUGAAAUAAUUAUAAAUUAAUAUUAUUAAUAUUAUUGUUAUUCACUUUUUAUAUUCAAAAUUUUGUAUUAUAUACAUUUUCUAUUUGUUCGUAUUUUUUUAUUUAAUAUAUAUUAUAAAGUUAAAAUCACUUGAGUAGUAAUUUUGCUUUUAGUUUCAAUUCAAGAUAAAUUUAAUUGUGUUUAUCGAUUUUUAAUUUUUAAUUUACAUUUUGAAUAGUUUUCCUUCAAAAAUAUUACGAAAAGGUAGUUGGUAAAAGUAAUAUGUUUCAAUGGCAUAUUUAUGAUAUGUGUGUAGAAACCACUCUACAGUGAAUUUAUUAAGCUACUAUAUUAUUUUGAUAAUAAAAAAGAAAAAUAUAUCACAAUAUUCACAAAUAAAUAAAUUAUAUU